AGGGUUUAGCUUCAAACGUACGCUGAAAUAUUUCUACAACGGAAUUUAAAUAACGUGACACGUCAACUACAGAUAAAAAUAGGCUUGCUGUAGAAGGGCAAAUUCGGUAGACCAAAGCGAGGAUGAGACAACUGAAAGGGAAAGUAAAAGAAAGCAAGAAGGAGAGAAGAGAAAGAAGAGAAGACAAUGUAAAGAACAGAGACAAAUUGUUCACAAUGGUCAUUCCAACCUUGGCUGUUUUAGCGGCUAUCAUCACUGUCUAUGUCUUCAUUAAUUCAAGACCAAGUGCUACAUGAUCAAUGCUGACACCUGAUUAAGCUGUGGUUUUCUGAAUGUCAGAGGAAUCAGUUUUAGUGCUGAUUACACGAUGAAGAAUCAAAGAUAAUUUCAGAUAUUGGUGUUCUACAAAAAAUACUGUGUAUAUACUACUAUUGGAUACUGGCAGCAUAAUACGCCUGGAUUACAGCUCGUUAAUGGUACAUGUAUUCUGUUUUAAUACAAGUUUUCAUGAGAGAUUUUUUUACAUUUUCUAAUAGCUUGAGUCUGUGAUCAAUUAAAAAUUUAUAAGAGUGACAAUGCAAGAGAUGUUUCAGAAAUUUACAAGUGCAUAUGUCCUCUGAUUAGUUUAAGAUAUAAGUGGUAGAUAUAAUCUCCAUUCAUGUUUUACCAUGUGGCUCAAUUGGUACAUGUAAUAUGCUUUUUCCUACGUUGAAUACUAGAAUAUGAAAUGCAAAUAAAAUCUAUGUUUCCUGGUAUUCAGCUCUCAUGUAAGUACUGAAAAAACAACAGAAGAAAUAAUUUUAGUGAUUAUUGCAAAUACUUUGUGUUUGCAGACAACAGUCCUUUUUUUAACUUGUUUUAUAUUAAUCCUUUUAAUUUAACUUAUAGAUAUGUCUAUGUCCAAUAUACAGUAUAAGAUUCAUUUCACCAUGGAUGUAGUUUAUAUUAGAGGCAAUGAUAGAAGAUAGAAAAUACUCAUUUAAAUAGUGAGAAAGUUACUUUCAUUGUCUUUUUGGGAGUUACAGUUAAUGAUUUUUGGUACAUGUUUUUGAAAUAUAAUAUAAAUGACACAAUUUUUUUAAGUUUUGAUUUUCUUGUUAAAAGAUUUUUGGAGUCUAAUGAAAAUUAAACUCCUUCCAUCAUGUGUUCCCCAGUAUUAUUCCUAUUUGAAAAUCUUUCAAUUUUCACCUUUCAUAUUUUUAUAAUUUGUACAAAAAUAUGAGAUUCAUUUUAUUGCUUGUCAACUCAGUUAUAGUGCAUCAGAGCAUACUGAUCAAACAGUAAUCUUUUGCUUUUCAUUUCUAAAUCAUUUUUCUAUUUUGAAUAAUGCCAAACUUGUGCACACCUUUGAAAAUUGAAAAAAAAUAAACCUCUUGUCAAAUUAACUGUAGUUAAAUUUCACAUGUAAUUGUGGUGGAGGAAUUUCACGAUCAGAUAUUAAUCAAGAUACAUAAUUAUGUGUCUGCACAAUGCUUAUUUUAAUUUGUUUGCUUCUCAUGUUCAGUGUAUAAAUAAAAGUGGCCUCAGGAUCAUGAAACCAUCUUAAGUUUAAAACUGUCUUAAGGUUUAACUUAACCAAUCAUGAUUAACAUCAUGAAAGAGUGACUGGCAAAGUGAAAUUUUAAGUUGAAGAUUGUUUCAUCAUUUUGGAUAUGGUGCGCUGAUGAAUUAAUUUCAUUGAUGAUUGAUCAUGUGUUGUUUUCAACCAUUAGUUUUCAAGAGAACAACAGUAGUUUAUUGGAUUACAAAUCACUAUAAAUGAUGAAUAAAUAACUUUGAUUUAUUUCAUUUGGCAACUAGGCCUAUUUGCUGCCAGAUUUAGAGUAUACCAUAUGUAAUUGAUCAUUAAUCAGUGAUUGACAGUUUGAUAGAAAUUAAUGAUUGAUCCUGUUCUUUAAACCGAUUCCACCACUAAUAAACACUACUGGUUUUGCCACUUAUAUAUGUAUAGGUGCUGUCUUGAUGUAUUGUUGAAAGUAUUUUUCACAAGUUUACAUGUGUCCCGUUGAUGUGUAACAUACCAGAUAAUAAAUUUAUAUAUUGUUGUUCUUAAAAUAAAAAGGUUGUUGGAUACGAAAA